rnacentral:lncRNA from 15 species
AUGAAAUGUGGGCUGUUAAAUAUCAGGUCUCUGUCCUCUAAAGCUGUUCUAGUGAAUGAAUUAAUAUCAGAUUAUGAUAUUGAUUUACUUAGUCUUACUGAGACCUGGUUGUCCCACGAGGAGUAUGUUAGCCUAAAUGAAUCCACCCCCCCCAGUCAUAUUAAUACUCACAUUCCUCGAGGCACAGGCCGAGGAGGUGGAGUAGCAGCUAUAUAUGAUUCGAGCGUUUUAAUGGACCCUAAACCUAAACUAAAUUAUAAUUCAUUUGAAAGCCUUGUUCUUAGUCUUUCUCACCAAAACUGGAAAACACUGCAGCCAGUUCUAUUUGUUAUAGUGUACCGCGCUCCUGGACCGUACUCUGAUUUUAUAUCUGAAUUUUCAGAGUUUCUAUCAAGCUUAGUCCUUAAAUCAGAUAAAGUAAUUAUUGUAGGUGAUUUUAAUAUUCAUGUGGAUGUUGACAAUGACAGCCUUAGUAAUGCAUUUAUAUCAUUAAUAGACUCAAUUGGCUUCUGUCAGAGUGUAAAUAAACCAACUCAUUGUUUUAAUCACACUCUUGACCUUGUUUUAUCAUAUGGCAUUGAUAUUGAACAUUUAAUAGUGUUCCCACAUAAUCCUUUCCUAUCUGACCAUUAUUUAAUAACUUUUGAAUUCAUACUAUUAGAUUAUAAGCCAUUAGGCAAAACUUCCUACAGCAGAUGUCUAUCUGACAGUGCUGUAGCUAAAUUUAAGGAGGAGAUUCCUUCAGUGUUUAAUUCAAUGCCAUGUCUGAAUUUAACAGAGUCCUAUAACAACUUUAGUCCCUCUGAAAUUGAUAAUCUUGUCGAUAGUGCUACAGGCUCACUACGAUCAACAUUAGACUCUAUCGCUCCUAUAAAAAGGAAAUUAUUAAAACAUAGGAGACUAGCACCUUGGUAUAACCACCAAACCCGCCAGUUAAAGCAAAUAGCUAGGAAAUCUGAAAGGAAAUGGCGCUCUUCCAAAUUAUCAGAAUAUCGCUCAAAUUGGCAAGAUGAUCUUAAGAUUUAUAGAAAGGCCCUCCGUAAUGCCAGAGGAGCCUAUUACUCAGCACUAAUAGAAGAAAAUAAGAACAACCCUAGGUUCCUCUUCAGCACUGUAGCCAGGCUGACAGAGAGUCACAGCUCUAUCGAGCCACAUAUCCCCAUAAACUUAAGUAGCAAUGACUUCAUGAGCUUCUUCUAUAAUAAAAUUNNNNNNNNNNNNNNNNNNNNNNNNNNNNNNNNNNNNNNNNNNNNNNNNNNNNNNNNNNNNUUUAGUGAAUUUACCACGUGA